AACGAGGCCGACCUGCGGCUGAGUUACCUGCGGAAGGAUCAUUACCGAGUUUACAACUCCCAAACCCCUGUGAACAUACCAAUUGUUGCCUCGGCGGAUCAGCCCGCUCCCGGUAAAACGGGACGGCCCGCCAGAGGACCCCUAAACUCUGUUUCUAUAUGUAACUUCUGAGUAAAACCAUAAAUAAAUCAAAACUUUUAGCAACGGAUCU
rnacentral:misc_RNA from 1 species